CAGCGCUUUUAUUCUUGUCAAUUUGGUGGGUCUAGUAUGGUGCCUCAGAAUGGCUUUAAUUUGCACCUCUUGCUUAGUAAUGAGGUUGAGAAGUUUUCAAAUCCAAAAUACACACUUUUAGGGAAAUACCCCAGGCCAGUGAAACAAGGGAGCCACACUGAUUGACUGACUGACUAACUUUUCAUGGCAUUAGAGGUCCUGGUAUCCUGUGUCUGGAAUGCACUUGCUCCUUGUUUCUGCUUCUUGGAUUCUUUGGUUUCCUUCGGGAUUCAGAUCAAACACCAUCUUCUGCUUGAAGAGUUUCCUUAUCCUCUCAACCACCAAUACCUUCUCCCACCAAAGAUGGCUAGCUGUUUGAUAUUUUCCAGCAUAUCUCUGGUCUCUACCCUCAAGCUGCUUAAUAAAAGAAGACAACACAUAGAGGGAAGUGGUGGCCAGAGAAGGGAAUCUUGGUCUGUAGAGUCAAAAGUCUCAAUUGUCAUUCCCUUUCCAGAAGCAAUAGUGGAAUUGAUUUGAUUAACAAUGCAAAGCAAUGUUCUGGCCAACAAUGGAAGCUUAAGUGAGAAGGCAACAUAUGCUCAUCACAAUACCGUGAAUGUUGCACAUAUUAAAAAAUAAUACAAAACCAUACCUACGUGCUAAUAUGUACACGUGUAUCUAUAGGCAAACAUCUAAUCAAUAAUCAGUAUUGCUGCUAUGUGUAUUCCUUCUUACA